UUUCAAAUUCCCAGCUCCUCCCGAUUCCCAGAUUCGGUGGAGAAGAUGAGUUUGACGGCCAACAAAACAAUGUAUUGAACGAUCGGCGACUGAGAAAUAAUGUCUCCGUCUCCGAUUUGCGCGCGAUUGAGGCCGAGUGGCCGGCCUGCUCUGCUCCAACCAAGCGCCGCGGCAUGUAUAUGGUUAGGGUUCAAGAGGAAGGAAAGGAAGCGCGGUGGAGCCUCAUGGAUGGAGGAGGGCAUGGCGUCUCACGGUGUGUUUCUCUCGAGCUCGUUUGCCGUUACAGGGUACUUGCCUAAAAUUCUUCCAAUUCGAUCGGUUCUUAGAGUUUGAUGGUUGGAUUCAUGGCCUUCGAAUGAAAUUUGGCUGUAAGACGAUCCGCAUAUGCCAGUGUGGAGAUAGUUUUUCACUAUCAGUUUGCUUACUUUGAGGAGUUUAUCUAAACGAUCCGCAGGUGUUCAUGGAUUUUUCUUCAACGCUCCUUCUUUUUAAGGGAACACAGAUUCAGGCAACCAUGUUUAACGCAGCUACAAACAAGUAGUUUUGUGACAGAUUUGAGAUGGGAUAGGUUUAUUACUAUAUAUCCAGGGGAUCGCUUAAGCUUUGCUAAAAAGCAGUUUAAUUAUUAUGAGACGACUCUAAAUGAGAAUUCAGAGGUUCAGACGAAGAAAUGUUUACCCCUGAAAAUAAAGUUCACUUUUGUACCCAUUGAUGAGUACGUAAAUCAGAAAGACCUUAUCGAUGUUAUUGGUGUCGUUCAAAGUGUAUCUCCUACCAUGAGCGUUAGAAGGAGGAAUGACAAUGAGAUGAUCCCAAAGCAGGGAUAUAUGUAACUUUAGCUGACAAGACAAAGGCGAAUGUCGAGGCUGUUUGUUAUCAAUCCGAGUGUCUAAUAAGGUUCUCUUGCCUCAGCCUGACAAAUCUCUUUGUGUUCCAAUGUCUCAAACUUGCAGAUUCCAUACCAUGCAGACAGUAGACACUUUCGUCUUCUUUCUUGAACAUCUAAGAGAUGUGUACAUGAUCUGGUGGAAUUUACUUACCCACCCGUAUACUCAAAAAGAGGCUCCAACACUUCCGAGUUCUCAAGCUUAAGUCGGUAUGUAGUAUUCAGAUUCCUUAAUUAAUUUGUGUGUGUGUGUGUGAGAUAAAAACUCCAUUGUGAUGCUCAAAAGUACUCCACCACAUAACAACAAUUUAUUAAAGUGACUGUUUUUUCCAAAGAAAGUAGAUAAAUUUUGGCAAGA